CGCGCCCCCCGCACGGCACGGUCCGGCGCGGCACGGAGGGAGGUUAUCGGGCGCGGGGGGAGGACUGAGGCUGGCAAGGUGAGAGCUCGGAUUGCCGGAGUGCCGGGAGGAAGCUGCCAUUUGUGAGCUGUGAGUGACGAGCGUGUAAUUUCAGCACCACUAAUGGACACUUAUUUUUCAUCAACUGGAGGAAAGAUGGGAAGGCGGAAGGAAACAAAUGAUCAUUACGGGUUAACCAACACAGAAGACAGAAGGAGUAUCAGCAGGGAUGACAUGGAACUAAUGCCACACAGAGAAGCAACCAGUGUGCCCAAAACAUCUUGGCAAAACUGAUGUAUUCCCAGGCUGUGGGGAGAUUACAGUACAAGUUCCUAUGAGAAUAUAUUGCAGACUGUGUGCUAGGAAAGCACCUCCAUUGGGGAAAAUUUGCCUGUGGAACGAGAAAUACAUAAGCAGAAACUGGGAACUGAAGAAAUGUUGUUAAGAUUGCCAGUCAGAAACAAUGUUCAACAUGGAGAGAGCAGGAAGAAGCUUAUACAGAAAAAGAGAGGCAAUGUUAAAACAGUACGUAACAAAAAGGAAAGUUGAAAUUUUGGAGCAUCCUUGAACCAUUCUUCUGUCUUACAUAGCCUUUGGAGCAAAACACGUUUCCUCAGAUUUGUUAGGUUUCUUUCCUGUAGAACCUAUAUGCCAUUACAGAUGGAGUAACAGGUUCUUUAAUCUCUUCAUAACAAAUACGCUGCUCUUUUUAGAAAGUUAAAAUUGUAAUAGUUUGAUCUUUUUAGAGGCAGACUGAAAUUACUAGGCUAACAAAUAUUUCAGUAGCAAAUAUCUAAGUUUAAAUUACUGAGAUUUUUACAUCUGGAAGUUACAAGAUCAAUCAUGAUAGUUGAACAUGAGAAUUUUUGUGAUAUGUUUCAAAUUCUACUGCACUAUCAAACACUAUCACUGAACAGAAACAACUCAUACAAUAUAAAGUACUGAUUGAAAAAUAGUGUUUCAAUUAUUUUUGUUAUACAAAAUGUAAAUAAUCGCUUUUACAUUAUUAAGUUUUCAACUUCCUUAAAUGUCUUUCACAGUUACUGUUAGAGCUGUGAGAAGUCAUUCUAAUUGAUACAAACAUUCAUCCUAUUUUACGUAAGAGAUUCUUAAUUUAAAUCAGCUUUUAAUUAUAAUUAGUGUUGAACUAAUACAAGUUACUAAAAAUCUGAGGUUCAGUGUCUUUUUUUUUGUUGAAGUUUGUAACAUCAUUGGUAAAUAUUCAAUUGUUUUUUCUUGUGCUAUUUACUAUUUUUUUUCUUUUUUUCCUUACCAAUCUCAAUCUUAUUGAUGAUUAUCUGUAGUUUUAAAAAUAUCAACAGAAGAUUGUGUCGCCAUUGACCAUGCAUAUAAUCUCUGUUCACAGGAAUUUAUUCCCAGAUGAUUUUGUGAGGGAAUCCAUAUGACUGUAUAGAUGAUUCCAUAUGAUUGUUUGCCAUACAUUGCUGUUAAAUGUUGAACUACAAAAUCCAGUCAGUUGUCUGAAUGAUUAGCAUUUUUUUUUCUAUAAUGAUGAAACAUGCACCACUACAUCAUUUGAAUUAACUUAUUGUUUUCCUAGCCUUUGUACUGUAUCAGCUCUUAGCAUUUACUCUUUUUUUCUGCUCUCACUCUUGCACUUGAUUUGUCUUAGUCUUGUCAUUGCUUAUCAAAAAAAAUUUUGCACAAGCAUUUUUAAUAAUGGCAGUGUUUGUGUCUGCAUUUAAAUGUCUAUUUAUUGUGUCUGCCAUCAUUGCAGCUGGAAGAUAAUCUCCAUUAAACAUCCCAUUUAAUAUUUUUCAAACUUUCUGAUACACGGUGGAGUGUAUUUAUUCAUGAAUAAUGCUUACUAAAUGAACAUAUCAGUAUAAGUCAUGCUGGGUACCAAAUCCUGCAUAUUAACUUACACAAUCAAGCUUAUAUUGCAAAUGAAGUAACUUUCCAAAAACACUUGGCAUUACUGGCAAGUCACCACAUACUCUAGAUGUUCUCAUAUGAAUUUUUCCAUAAAACAUUAAGUUGAAACUGACCUUGAAAAUGACUGUAUACUGAGAGAUCAAUUACUGUGAAUUUUAUAUUUCUUGGUAAUUAUGUGUUGCAUGGUAUAGGUUUUCUCUGCUGCCAUACAAAUACAGAGUAUGCACUUUCAAAUUAUAGUCCUCAUAAAUAACCCAGUGUCUGAAUUUACUGUAGUGAAAAAACUAGUCAUCUGAGCUAUGUAUGAUAAAGAAAAUAGUAAACAAGGAUGAUUAUUUUCAUUUACCUUUACAUCUGUAUUAGCAGACACCUAUAACAGAGCUAUUGGUGUAGACUUCUUUCAUUGUUAGUAGAGAAAAACCGAAGUCUAUAGCUGACCACAUCAAUUCCAUUGUCUACUGCCUAUUGAUCUCCACUGAAUAUAAAGAAAUAUUGAAAGUAUCGAGUUAAUAUACAGAUGUCUUAUAGAACUCCAGAGUUAGGUGAGAUGUCUCCUGACCACUUACUUAAGUGCUGUUGGUAUAAAUAUAUUAUGUUUCUAAAUUUUUUAUUGCUAUAUAUAUGUUUUAGCUAUUGCAAUGCAUUUGUCCUGUGCAAAUUGUUUAUCUGUUAUACUGUGUACUUUAUAAGGCUACAUGGCAGAACCUUCAUAUGUUUCCACCACACUGAUCAUUUUUUUUACCUCAGUGAUAUUAGUUCUUAAAAUAUAUUCAACUUUUCAUAGUUUACAUUAUUUUAGCUAGAACACAAGCUAUAAAAUUAAUAUUAUUUUCAAAAUAAAAUAUUCUUGGCAAUUCUGUGAAUACUAAAGAAUAUUAAUUUCAUGUACAUGUAAAUACAACUUCCUGAAAUCCAGAUGCAAUGAUGAUGCAAGCAAAUAGAUAUUUAAGAAAUGUGUAUUAAUAUAGAAUGAGUAGGAAUAUUUCAGAUAUAAUUUCUUUCCAAUAAAAAUUUCAUUAUUAUGAGGUGUUUAUUAAUUAUCAUCUACAAAAAAGAAAAUUCACCUUGAAAGCAUCAAAACAAAAUGAAAAACACAAUUUUUCUGAGGUUGUCUGG
rnacentral:lncRNA from 1 species